AACGAACGCUGGCGGCAUGCCUAACACAUGCAAGUCGAACGAGACCUUCGGGUCUAGUGGCGCACGGGUGCGUAACACGUGGGAACCUGCCCUUAGGUUCGGAAUAACUCCCCGAAAGGGGUGCUAAUACCGGAUAAUGUCUUCGGACCAAAGAUUUAUCGCCUUUGGAUGGGCCCGCGUUGGAUUAGCUAGUUGGUAGGGUAAAAGCCUACCAAGGCGACGAUCCAUAGCUGGUCUGAGAGGAUGAUCAGCCACACUGGGACUGAGACACGGCCCAGACUCCUACGGGAAGCAGCAGUGGGGAAUAUUGGACAAUGGGCGAAAGCCUGAUCCAGCAAUGCCGCGUGAGUGAUGAAGGCCUUAGGGUUGUAAAGCUCUUUUACCCGGGAUGAUAAUGACAGUACCGGGAGAAUAAGCUCCGGCUAACUCCGUG
rnacentral:rRNA from 1 species